UACGAAGGGUGCAAGCGUUAAUCGGAAUUACUGGGCGUAAAGCGAGUGUAGGCGGUUUCCUAAGUCAGGUGUGAAAGCCCCGGGCUCAACCCGGGAAGUGCACUUGAAACUGGGAGGCUAGAGUAUCGGAGAGGUUGGUGGAAUUCUCGGUGUAGAGGUGAAAUUCGUAGAUAUCGAGAGGAACACCGGUGGCGAAGGCGGCUCACUGGCUCAUUACUGACGCUCAUGCGCGACAGCGUGGGGAUCGAAACAGG
rnacentral:rRNA from 1 species